AGCAUGCAGUGUUAUCACACACUUUAAGAGCAGUUUUAGUAUAGAUAACCUGUCUGUUCCCCCCCUUCUCCAGAGCUUGCAGCAGGUCUAACAGGAGCUGUACAUGAAGACAGAGCAGGCUGCAUGCAGAACUCUUCCAGAUGUAUGCUGGGCUGAAAGGGGCUGAGCUAUUUCUGCAGUGCCACUGAGCUUCUCUUCUGUCCACUCUCUUCCUGUAACCAAAGGGGUUGAAAUAAGCGACGUCUGUAAAUGGCUCAGCAGGUUGGAAGAUACAGGUUUAUUCUUGGCAGUGAAUAUCCCUGGAUUCCUGUUCAGAGUAGAGUAGACUACACUUUCUCCGAAUCCUUGCUCUGAAUCACAAAAAAAAAUGUGUUAUUUCCUUGCAAUGGUGUUGUCCAAGAUUUAGAGGUCAUGAUCCAACACAUCAGCCAAAAAAACGACCUUGGCUUGGAAACGAGGCUUUUCACAGAUCUCUGAAGGUCAGAUGUUCAUUUUUCCAGCUGAGGAAUUUGAGACCAUUUGUGCUGCCUACCUUUAAGGUGCCUGUUUUGGGUCCUGAAGUGAUGAAGCUCCUCCUCCAAACUUCUGUGCUUCCUCUGGAAUGAGCUGUUAGACACCAGCCUCCCAGAACUGGGCACCCAGAUAAGCAACUGAAAUGCCAUCUCACGGAGCGCAGUGACCUCCCUGGAGGGCUGUCCUUGGGCUGUGGCUUCAUGCUCCCCUGUCUCAUGGGAGACACUGGAUUUCCUUCCUAGCUGUCUCCCACGGAGUACUUUGGAGCAUUUAUGUUUCUGUAGCGCAGGACUGAGCCAAGAAGCAGCUCAGAGCACGUGUGGUAAGGUGUCUUGUGCAAAGGCUGCCCUUAAGCAUCGCUCUCCAGCCCCAGCUUGGCCAUUCAUGGUAUGUUGCAUUUGCCAAACAUAAAUUGAAAUAGGUCUUGAACAAUUGCAUUGGCAUGUGUGUGACUUUCUCUCCAGCCAAGCAGUGAAGGCACCGUGGCUCCUGUUGCAGAGCAUGCCAAUACUUGGAAUGUGCUCCUGCCAAUAUCCCACAUAAAUCACGCCUUAUCCAGCCCUCCUCAGUCCUUCUGGAGAUUUCUGCUUCACUGCAAGUGAUACGUGAUGGAUCUGUGCUUCCUCAGAGCAUCACAUUGCAGGCAGAUCUCAAUACACUUAUUUACGCAAGGUGCUACACACCAGAAAGGACCAUUUGGAUGGCUUGGGAGGGUCAGCAUGGAGCCUAGAAGUGUCAGCAUGGAGCCUAGAAUGCAUUUGAAAGUGCUAAAAUACCAAAACCCAGCAGAAGGGGGUCAAUGUUAGGAAAGAAGCUUGCACUCCUCAUUGUCUGAGGAAAUGGAAGCGGGGUGAUGGCAGGGGCCAGAUCCCAUUGAGCAUCGCAAUGCAAACACACACGCGUGCAGCACAGGGAGCAAAGCGUUGGGGACCGGAGCCCCAGAAAUAUUGCACUGUCCAGAGUCCACGGGUUAAAACAAACAUCAACACUGCGUCAAAUAGUUUGCCCCCUGAGCCUGCACCUCGACUCCUUGGGUUGUAUUGCAUAUGUGCAGCGAUCCCAGGGCCAAGACUGCUCGCAUAGGUAUGAAGGCUGUCUUGCAACCUCCGCUGCAUCCUUUCUGUGCAUGGUAACAAGGUACUUUUCUUCUGCCAUGAGACCUACUCGUGUCACACUGGCUUGUGGGAUUGUCCUCGUUGCAGAUCCUCAAUGAAAAAACUACUUCCAGUUGAGCCACCUGGACAAUGAUUUGCAGAUUGAAAACAAACAAGCAGAAUCUCGGAGUUAAAGAGGUCCCAGUGUUGGGACAGAUGCUGUGGUACUACUCUAAAUUUCACUUGGAAAGCUGAAGGAACCAAAUGCAUCAACUCAGGACCCCACAGAGCACACCCCUGAAAUCGACCUUGCACAUACAGUGAACCCAUGGAGAGGAAGGAGUGACCCCAUGAAGGAGUGGAGACGCCAGAGCUGCAGGGGAGAGGCUGCUUGGGAAGUCAAAUGAGGGCAGAAAGCAUCAGCCUUUCCAGGAAAGAACCUGUCCUUGCACAUUUCCUUGUGUCUGGGCUUCGAUAUCUUGAUUGGGAGCACAUGAGGAAAAGAAAACACCCCCCAUUUUACUGAGCCCCAGCAGGGUGAACAGAAGGAAAAAGGUGCUCCAGGGCAGGAAGAAACUGUGAAGAAAUAGGUUUGCAAACUCCAUUUAUAUUGGAUUGUUUAAAAAUUGUCCUGAGAGCUGCCUUCUGGGGACAGCUGUCCUACUCUGAAGGAGGGAGAGCAGAGAUGUGUGUGGGGAGAAGCCGUGUGUGGGACUCUAGGGGUUGGGAUGGGACUCAGGUUGCAAUUGCCUCUGGUUGCUCUCAGGCCUGAGAAAGGCAGGAAGAUGCUGGGCACAUGGAAGAAAGGCUCCAUGAAACUCUUCGUCCUGUAGAAGCAACAUCUCUCUCUGCAACAGGAGAGGUCUCACCUGACCAUAAGCAGCCCUGGAAAGUAGAGAGGUGAGAAAGGCAGCUGAUUCAUAAAAUCAUCUGAGAUGGAAGAGACCCUUAAAGGCCAUCUGGUCCAACUCCUCUGCAAUGAUCAGGGACACCUACAGCUCUGUCAGGUGCUCGCAGCCCAUCCAUCCUGACCUUAAGUGUCCCCAGGGACCUAUCGUCUCCAGGUCCCCUGCCUGCCAGCCAUCUGAAGUCAUGGCAAUGCUACAAGUGCCUCCAUGCUCAAGCAGGACAUGCAGAAAAAGCUGAGCUGCCCUGGAGAUGUACAUGAGCUGCUGGUACCCAAUGUGCAGACACAGCAAUGGAUAAAAGGAGGCUCAGCAUUGCAAUACAUUAAUGUGCUGCAUCCCAAGAAAUGUUUCCUCAGGGUGGAGGAAUUCUGGUAAGGUUCUCUACUAAUGCACCCAUAGCCAGUAUCUGGUCUGGACUGCUCGACAGCAGAAAUGAACACAUCCAUCUUGCGUUGGCUGCACAUGGCAUGCACAGGGGGACUGUUCCUUAUUAGCACUCGCAACCAUUGGCAAGAGCUGCUGGAACAGAGGUUGAGCUCCAACUGCUAUUCCUGCCUCUCCUCCUUCACUUGUGCUUGUGUCUUUCUCAAACUCAUUCCUUUUGGAAUUUUCCAUGCUUCAUCCAAGCUCAGUGACAAGUUUUUGCUGAAGGUGCGGACUGUGCUGGUUGGAGUCCCCUUUGUGGAGCUCCUCACUCAUGAUGAACGUUCAUCUUUCAUGUCCAAGGAGAUGUCAAGCUGAAGAAAAUCUUCAGAUGAUGGAUUCUGAUUUAUUUUCUUGUGUAUUUGUUUUGAAAAGUGACUUACAAGUUUACAUUUCCAUCAACUGGAACAUAAAAGGAAAUCAAUUAUUUAGAUCCCCCCAAGUGAAAAGCUGCAAAGCUCUGGCAAAACUGAAGUUUUUCCAUGGAACAUUCAGAUUUUGUGAAAGCCAUGCUUUCUGUUGAAAACAAACAAACAAACAAGGAUCAUUAGUCCUUCAUCUGCUCUACUUUUAAAGGACAAUUCAAAAAUAUAAGGGCAAAAAUCUCCACUUCCAGCAUCUAAUAUAUCAGCUCUUUUUUAGUGUGACUUCAAUUCCACCCCCUUAGUGAAGAGGCUAAAAAAAUUUCUCAGAUUGAAGGAAAGUAUUUUAUCAGUUAGAAAGUUGUGGAAAUUUAAAAUGGGUAUCUUGGUGCAUGUAUUAGAUUUGCAGCUUGCCUUCCUAUCUGGGUUGAAGAUUCUGUUCUUAAAAGCCCAGUGUUAACUCAGUUGUGAAUAUCCCUGGUAGGAGGCUUUUGGUUUGCUAGCAUUUUCUUUUUUAAUUUUAUUUCUUAAAAGAAGAAAAAAAAAAGAAAGAAAAAGAAAGGACAACUCAAACACAGAAAAAUCUGUUUAGAACUGAAGCAGCAAAAAUUACAUCUUGGCACUGAGAAACCUCCAUUCAUUAUGUUUCUGUAGCAGCAAUUCUAGGGUUGAAUUUAUUAUUGACAGGAAUUUUGUGGUUUAAUGCACAUUUUUCUUUGGAUUUUCAAAUUUAAAGAUUGUUUUCCUUUGACAGCCUUCUUUUUCUUCGAAAGUCAGGAUAACCAAAUAGUAAACCUAACUAAUUAAACCUUCAAAAGCUAGUGAGUUCCAGUCCAAGGAUGCGUGGCAUCACGAUGUUAACACAAGGUCAUUGCACAAAUGUAGACUCUUCUUCUCUACUCCCUUCUCCACCCUGUUUUGACAGGAUAACUUCCUGAGUGUCUGGAAAUUGUCUCUACAAGCGUGUGAAUGUAAAUAUUAAUUUGGUACUUCCAGACACACACACACAUACGUAUGAAAUUGGCGUAUUCUGUGUACUGAGCACGCAUGAAGUAGUUCCUUGAAUGCACUGCACGUCUGCAAAAGGCUCUGAAUGUAUCAUGGUGGAUGGCUUGAUUUGAAACAUUAAGAUAGGUGAUAAGAAAUUCUUGCUAUAAAAUCAUUCAUGUAUGUUUCAAACGACUCACUUAAAGGGGAAAAAAUAUUUUAUAAUUAACAUGACAGAUAAGAGUAUCUGUGACACUUUGAAUAAAUGCAAUGUAUUUGAUUUUGAAGUAGGGUUUAAGAUUCUGGAGAUGUGUUCAAGAGAGGGAAGAUGCACUCAGUGUUGAAAAUGAAGAAGUACUGUAUAUCAUCUUAAGAAAUUAAGAGACCUCACAUGAAUCCUUAUUCCUAAUUGCCUCCCAUUUCGAGCUUCCUAGGAGAUGUGCAGGGCUAAUUAAAACAGAGCUGGCAAAAAGAAGACCCUACAAGGGAACCUGGGUUUCUUUUCCAUGCUGAUAGCCAUGCCAGGAGAAGGCGUUCAAAGAUCUAGCCAUGGUGGAAGUAACUGGGGAAAAGCUACCUCUAUAGAUUUUAAAGGAAAAUACAGGGUGGAUGGUACUGUAAAUGUUAGAUGUGAUAAGUGUGGUGUUGGAGAGCUGGUGGCCAGUUCAGUGGGCAGUUCUGCUUAGUUUGAGGGUGUAUGAUCUUAGGCCCUGUGCUGGGCUACGUCCCUACAACCUUUCUGCAGAUAAAUGUACAGUAGCUAGAGGUGUGUGGCAGAAAGGGGAAUGGGUGUUCCCUGCCAGCAUGUUUAUCUGCAGAGUCAAUCACCAGGAUGAACUAUUAAAAAAUACCCCGAUUUCCAUGGCACUUUCUUCUCAUUUCUUAACUGCUGCUCAGGCAAAGCUGUUAUUAAUUCAGGAGGAGUCUGACUGAGCAAGAAGUCUCCAGAGUCCAAAAUAUGUUGAGGAGAGUAAAUAAAAGAAUUUUUCACCUACCACAGAACAGCAUCAGCCUCUGGGUUGAAUGCAGGAGCUGUUUAACAAUGCGCAGAAACAUUUCCCCCCAGGUUUGGACAGGAGUUGGAUUGUAUGCCCAAUUGAGCCUACAACUGAAAGCAAUGAGCUGGAUGGACACUCUUGAUAUGGGAUGGGCUUGGAGGGUGAGUGCUACCUGCCUGAGUACCACACCACUUCCUUUAGGACACUGGGAGAUUUUCUGGAGCUCACCCAUCUGACCCAAUCCUCCACAUGAGAUCUGGCAAGAUAGUCACUCCAAGUGUCUGGGGAGCAUCACUAGAAGCAAGUUCAGGAUAAGGAAAGGGUGUGAUGC